rnacentral:lncRNA from 1 species
GCUUCAUGGAGGUUCUAGGGCUAGUUGGGCCCUUGGUUGAAAGGCUGUGGGCCUUUCGGGUUCUUGAGGUCUAGGUUAUGUGGGCCUCAAGGGACCAACUCUUUAUGGGCCAGGUCUGGGCCCAGGAUAGGUGAGAUUAGGUCAAGUCAUGGGUGUACAUGGGCUUGGGUUAACCUAAUCUCCCAUAGAGUUGGUCAAGNN